CCAUGAGAGGUGGUGAUCAGUGGAAGGUUGUUUGGUUCACGGUGGAGGAAGAAAAGUAUUUAGGAGGAAAGGUGGUGGUUGUUUGGAAAACUAGAAAGAAAAAUGGUGAGAAAAAAUGAAAAAUAGAAGAAAGUGAAAGGGAGAGGGGGUGUGGACGAAAAAAGUAAGGGAGAGGCUUGGUCAACUAUGGCUAGGUUAAAUAUAUUAAGCUACAAGGUAAGAGGUGAGGUUAUGU
rnacentral:lncRNA from 1 species